CACAGCUCUGCAUGUCCCACCACCUUGCCCCGGCUGCAGGUCUGGGUGAGGCAGAGCAUUCCCCUUCCCAGCUCACUUGUGGGGGGCAGAGCUAAGCAGGGCAGGAUUCAGACACACAGACUUCUUCCCACUCCACCAGCAGCCACAAGGACCUCACACCUGCUGCUCUGCCAUAGAACCACAAACUCAACUAAAUCAGAUACAGCUGGAUCCACUUAAAGCAAUAUAAAUAAUACACAGAUGAGCCUGGAACUAGUAACCCCUAAAAGUUCUCCAAAGCAUUUGGGGCAGAGUUAGUUUAGUACCCAUCACAGCAGAGGGCCCUCUCAUCUUCCCUUAGUCCCUUGGCCCCAAAUGGAAGAGCAGAGCUGGAGUUCU
rnacentral:lncRNA from 12 species